rnacentral:rRNA from 1 species
AGAGUUUGAUCCUGGCUCAGGACGAACGCUGGCGGCGUGCUUAACACAUGCAAGUCGAACGGAAAGGUCUCUUCGGAGAUACUCGAGUGGCGAACGGGUGAGUAACACGUGGGUAAUCUGCCCUGCACUUUGGGAUAAGCCUGGGAAACUGGGUCUAAUACCGGAUAGGACCUCGAGGCGCAUGCCUUGUGGUGGAAAGC